GCUCGUCAACAGUUUUGAAACUGCCACUGAGCAGUUAUGAGAGGAAUUUUAUUUUGAUUCAAAUCGGGCAGCUCUUAGCUUUCAGUAAAAGGGGUGGGGCCGACUCGAGCACACCGACUUUGAUCACGUGAUCAGAGGCGGCCAAUACGAUUCGUAGGCAAGAGUGACUCACAAACGGUUUUCGCCAAUCCGACAGCUCGCCGCGCCGCUGAACUCAAAUCUGUUUGAAAGAACGUGCGCUGUGUUUGAAUGUGAAGAUAAUUCUACAAAUUCAGUAAAUUUAUACUGGUCUUACCUGACUGACUCACUGAAGAAGCCGUAGAUAACGGGAAGAUUGUCAUCUUUGAAAAGCUUUGUUUGCACUGGUAGUUGCUCAGAAUGAAGUCGGUGGUGAGAAAGAGCAACAAAGAAAACACUAAACCAGUAUGUGGUCCAAAAAAACAAGUCAUCAGCAGUAUCCGACUCAUCCGCAAACAGCACGUUCUGCCGGAGGAAGUGAAAACACAGAGAAACAACACGUGACACACGGCGGAGCACGGACACGAUGAACCACGAGAGCUCUCACAGUUGAAGAGCAGGUGUGUGUGGAGCUGCUGCAGGAGCUGCGAGUUCUUCUCAUACGUCAUCUGCUCAGUCAACAGCUGAACCGCCACCAGCACGCUCACGUCCACCAGGAACGCUGGCAGCUGCACACACACACACACACACGAAACCCACAGCGAAUCAAGACAUACACAGUGAAGGACUGAGGAACCAAAGGAAAGAGAACUAUGGGUACCUUCUGCAGCAGAGCUCCUAACGUGGCCACGAGC
rnacentral:lncRNA from 1 species